rnacentral:rRNA from 1 species
CGCGCAGGCGGCUAUCCAAGUCAGUGGUGAAAGCCCGGAGCUCAACUCCGGAACUGCCAUUGAAACUGUUUAGCUUGAGGACGAGAGAGGUGAGUGGAAUUCCCAGUGUAGAGGUGAAAUUCGUAGAUAUUGGGAAGAACACCGGUGGCGAAGGCGGCUCACUGGCUCGUUUCUGACGCUCAGGCGCGACAGCGUGGGGAUCAAACAGGAUUAGAUACCCUGGUAGUCCACGCCGUAAACGAUGAAUGCUAGCCGUUGGGCAGCUUGCUGUUCAGUGGCGCAGCUAACGCAUUAAGCAUUCCGCCUGGGGAGUACGGCCGCAAGGUUGAA